GAUGAACGCUGGCGGCGUGCCUAAUACAUGCAAGUCGAGCGAACAGACGAGGAGGUUGCUCCUCUGACGUUAGCGGCGGACGGGUGAGUAACACGGGGAUAACCUACCUAUAAGACUGGGACAACUUCGGGAAGCCGGAGCUAAUACCGGAUAAUAUAUUGAACCGCAUGGUUCAUUAGUGAAAGACGGUUUUGCUGUCACUUAUAGAUGGAUCCGCGCCGCAUUAGCUAGUUGGUAAGGUAACGGCUUACCAAGGCAACGAUGCGUAGCCGACCUGAGAGGGUGAUCGGCCACCCUGGAACUGAGACACGGUCCAGACUCCUACGGGAGGCAGCAGUAGGGAAUCUUCCGCAAUGGGCGAAAGCCUGACGGAGCAACGCCGCGUGAGUGAUGAAGGUCUUCGGAUCGUAAAACUCUGUUAUUAGGGAAGAACAAAUGUGUAAGUAACUAUGCACGUCUUGACGGUACCUAAUCAGAAAGCCACGGCUAACUACGUG
rnacentral:rRNA from 1 species